UUGAUCCUGGCUCAGGACGAACGCUGGCGGCGUGCCUAAUACAUGCAAGUAGAACGCUGAGGAUUGGUGCUUGCACUAAUCCAAAGAGUUGCGAACGGGUGAGUAACGCGUAGGUAACCUACCUCAUAGCGGGGGAUAACUAUUGGAAACGAUAGCUAAUACCGCAUGACACUAGAGUACACAUGUACUCAAUUUAAAAGGAGCAAAAGCUUCACUAUGAGAUGGACCUGCGUUGUAUUAGCUAGUUGGUGAGGUAACGGCUCACCAAGGCGACGAUACAUAGCCGACCUGAGAGGGUGAUCGGCCACACUGGGACUGAGACACGGCCCAGACUCCUACGGGAGGCAGCAGUAGGGAAUCUUCGGCAAUGGACGGAAGUCUGACCGAGCAACGCCGCGUGAGUGAAGAAGGUUUUCGGAUCGUAAAGCUCUGUUGUUAGAGAAGAACGGUAAUGGGAGUGGAAAAUCCAUUACGUGACGGUAACUAACCAGAAAGGGACGGCUAACUACGUGCCAGC
rnacentral:rRNA from 1 species